rnacentral:tRNA from 1 species
AAAUUUAGGUUACAAAUUUUAAACCAAGAGCCUUCAAAUCUCUAAACAGGGAGCUGCCCUAAUUUCUG